GCACUCUUGUUUCUCUUCAACUCAUAUAAAUAUUUUGCUUUUUACUAAAGAUUUCCAUGGAGACACACGGAGAAGAGUUUUUCCCAAUUUUUUGAUGCUCUGCAUAUUGCAGAGG